GUCCUUUUGAAUAUAUAUAUAAGGUCUAACCUGCCCACUGAGUUUAAAUGGCCGCAGUACACUGACUGUGCAAAGGUAGCAUAAUAAUUAGUCUUUUAAUUGAAGGCUGGAAUGAAUGGUUGGACGAAAUAUAAGCUGUUUCAUUAUAAUUUAUACUAGAAUUUUAUUUUUCAGUAAAAAAGCUGAAAUAUCUUUAAAAGACGAGAAGACCCUAUAAAUCUUUACAUACUAUAUAGGCCUGUAUUUUAGAAUUCUUUAGCAGCCUUGUAAACGUAUGUUUUAUUGGGGUGAUAUUGAAACUUGAAAAACUUUUGAUAAUUAGAACAUUAAUUUAUGAGUUAAUGAUCCGUAAAAACGAUUAGUAAUCUAAGUUACUUUAGGGAUAACAGCGUAAUUUUUUUGGAGAGUUCAUAUCGAUAAAAAAGAUUGCGACCUCGAUGUUGGAUUAAGGAAUUGGUUUAG
rnacentral:rRNA from 1 species